rnacentral:rRNA from 1 species
GACGAACGCUGGCGGCGUGCUUAACACAUGCAAGUCGAACGGAAAGGCCCUGCUUUUGUGGGGUGCUCGAGUGGCGAACGGGUGAGUAACACGUGAGUAACCUGCCCUUGACUUUGGGAUAACUUCAGGAAACUGGGGCUAAUACCGGAUAGGAGCUCCUGCUGCAUGGUGGGGGUUGGAAAGUUUCGGCGGUUGGGGAUGGACUCGAGGCUUAUCAGCUUGUUGGUGGGGUAGUUGCUUACCAAGGCUUUGACGGGUAGCCGGCCUGAGAGGGUGACCGGCCACAUUGGGACUGAGAUACGGCCCAGACUCCUACGGGAGGCAGCAGUGGGGAAUAUUGCACAAUGGGCGGAAGCCUGAUGCAGCAACGCCGCGUGCGGGAUGACGGCCUUCGGGUUGUAAACCGCUUUCGCCUGUGACGAAGCGUGAGUGACGGUAAUGGGUAAAGAAGCACCGGCUAACUACGUG